GUACGGGAGGCAGCAGUGGGGAAUAUUGGACAAUGGGCGCAAGCCUGAUCCAGCCAUGCCGCGUGAGUGAUGAAGGCCCUAGGGUUGUAAAGCUCUUUCACCGGUGAAGAUAAUGACGGUAACCGGAGAAGAAGCCCCGGCUAACUUCGUGCCAGCAGCCGCGGUAAUACGAAGGGGGCUAGCGUUGUUCGGAAUUACUGGGCGUAAAGCGCACGUAGGCGGAUAUUUAAGUCAGGGGUGAAAUCCCGGGGCUCAACCCCGGAACUGCCUUUGAUACUGGGUAUCUGGAGUAUGGAAGAGGUGAGUGGAAUUCCGAGUGUAGAGGUGAAAUUCGUAGAUAUUCGGAGGAGCACCAGUGGCGAAGGCGGCUCACUGGUCCAUUACUGACGCUGAGGUGCGAAAGCGUGGGGAGCAAACAGGAUUAGAUACCCCUGUAGUCCC
rnacentral:rRNA from 1 species